rnacentral:lncRNA from 1 species
UAUAUUAAAGGACGGUCUAGCUUAGUGGAGAGGUUAACCUCCAUUACAGGCCGACAGGAAUCCAGGAGCUACACUCCCCACCUCUACUGCUCCAUUGAGGACCACAUAGCCAAUGUGUAAAGUUUGAGAUUCCCAAGUGAGUGAAAUUUGGCUUUUCUUCUAUUUCUCUCUCGGUCUAGAUAGGAAAGCAGUCUUUUGUUGGGUGCCGUUGCUGCCUUUUUGUUCUCGAUUCCUAUAAAUGCAUGGAAAAACCCCUUCUGAAGCCAUCGUACUUGGAAAGCAUUAGGGAUUGGGCUAGCUGCAUGUCGAAAGGGCUUCCUGUCUUUGUGUAGGGAUUAACAUAAUAUAAUAUAUAGGACCGAUAGUGG